CUCCCUCUCUCUCUCUCUCUUUUAAAAAAUCAGCCAUUUGGGGUUUUAAGCCAUAAACGAUUUUUCUUGUUGCAGGGGACUGCAGUGGCAAAGCUAUAGGCUAGGUCUUGGAGACUGGUGCAAGGCGAAGCGGGUGAAGGCAGGAGGCUGAUGGAGAGACUGGGGGGAAGAAAAGCCGAAAUGGAUUCACGGUGCCUUGGAUGGAGGACGAGAGGGGAAUUGCAGGCUCCUUCAACUCGUUCUGUCCGGUGAGAAGUGAUCAAGCUUGGGCUGACAAGAGGCUCAGGGAGCCCUCACGUUCUUUCGCUUUUUUACCUGCCAAUCAAACUGCUACAAGACAACACCCUGAUCUGGCAUGGACAUCGCGGGUCCAAGCCUGUAGUCCAAAAUCGGAUAUCUCUGCAGCUGAUAACAAGCAAAUGAGAAGCCAGGCAACAGCCAUAUUAAAGAAGAAAACAGUCAACUCUGAGGAUGCCACCCUGAAAGCUUUAUUUUCUCCAGGAAAGUAGAUUUCUCUUUGAGAGUUCUAGCCUCUGAACUCAGUAUGUAAAUGUGGUCAUCAAGCAAGACGGAGCUGCCAAACAGGAAGAUUUUGAAUGUUUCUCUCUCCUAAAACCUUUCCCCAUGUUCCUUCUUCCAGGGGCGCUUCACUCAAAGUUUCCCCAUUUCCCCAACGCUGUUGAAAAAGGCCCCAAAGCAACAUUGCAGGAGCUAAACCAAUUGUACUGUGAAGUUGUCGAGCUGGCAUUUCGUCUGAAUCCUUUGUAAAAAUUAGAUUUUAAGUAGGGGUGAGUGUCCUUUUGGGAGAAGGGACAAGGGAGAGUCGAAGAAGAGGGGGAGGGCAUGAGCAGUUUAUAUACAUACAUACUCUUUGUGUUUGAAGGCCUCUGUGUCUUGGCUUCUCACUAUGUUAAAUCCCUAUUAUAAAACUUAUCUUCACAAAGCCUAUUAUAGUAUUCUGAGAACAAAUUGGACCAUGAAUAACUUAGUUGGAAGUGUAGAUUAUUUUCUACUCGGGGAAAGUUAGAGAUGACAACAGCUUAACUAAAAGAAUAGUGAUUACUCUUAAAUAGAUGGAUUUCAAAGUUUCACUCUUGAUAAAGAGUGCCUUUGAUAUUUCCCCUCUUCAGACUCAUGUUUCCACUUUCUUUGUAUUAAGAAUUGUCCUGGCGAUUACACUGUCCACCUAAUACAGCCUGACUCUAACUGUAGAUCUUUUUCUUACAGGUUGCUAAUCUGUCAGAGAGGUGAGCAGAAAGACACUCUACUUCUCACUGAUUAAAUAUAUGGUUCCAAAGUAGCACCCGUGCUUAGAUGGCGAACUCUGUUAGAAAUAACAUCUUGCAGACAUCAACAUCUCUCAAUUGGAUAAAAUUAUUAUUCAAAUCGUAAAUUUGUUUAAUGCCCUGCAGCUGACAGAACACUUCUCGAUUCGUAAUUUUGUUUGAUCCUUAGAGCGAUGUUAUGAAAUAAACAAAUAACGCUAAUCUCACUGUACCAAGGAGGAAGCCGAGUCCCUCAUACACUCACACUCACACUGAACCAGCUGAUUAGUGACAGAAUUGGGGUACCACCUCCGAUUUUAUAGCAUCAAAGUGUUUUAACCGACCAGCCCAUAGCAAUAGGUGUUUAAAUAGUUUUUGUGUUCUGUAUCCCUAAAAAUCAAGAUUUUUGUAUUAAAGAGCAAAGUUUUUUAUAUUUCACAGAUACGGGAAGUUAAAAAACCUGAUGGAAGAAAAAUCUAUUCACUUAAAAGUAAAUUUCAUGAAUUAU